UAUUAAUGUAAUAAAUGUAAUGUAAUGAAUUUCACCAAUGAACUUACCAAUAUAGAUUCAUCUUUGCAUACCUGUUAUAACUGUACUUAAUCAUACUAUUUUAAUGCAUUUUUUUAAAUUGGUGAAUUAAUAUUUUGUUUGCAUUGCAUUUAUUAAAUAGUUCUAUACAUCAUUUAGUAUAAUUCUAUGCAUUCGGGCUGAGGAUAUAGCUUAGUUGGUAGAAUGCUUGUCUCACAUGAACAAGGCCCUGGGUUCAUUCCCCAGCAGCACACACACAUACACACACACACACACACACAUACACACACACAGAUCUAUACAUUAGACCAUUAAGCAUCACUGCAAUGAAAUACCUGAGCAGACUAACCUCAAGCAAAGAGGCUUAUUUACUUACUGUUUGGGAAGUUUAAGGGCAUGGUGCCAGCAUUGGCUCAGCUCUGGUGAGGGACCUCUUCUCUGUGUCCCACAGUGGUAGGAUAGCAAUGUUCAGAGCACAUGCAUUAGCAAGCAGUCAUGUUCCCAAACAGGAAGCCAGAGUGGGGUGGGGACACUUUUUAAAACAAUCCUCCCAGAGAACUGUACAGGUAGUAUAGUAGAGCUACUUCACCCCAUCCGAAGGGGUGAUCCCAAGUCAAUUAAGGACUUCCUUCUAGGAUCCACUUUUUAAAAGGUAACCACUACUUGCCCAUAGUGUCCCUGAUGGACUAAGCUCUCAACAUAAGAAUCAUUGGAGGGCAGGCAACAUCCAAACCACAUCAUCCUCAUCUUUUAUAAGAAUUAAUCCCUGGAUCAUUUAAAUUUUCUGCCACUUUUUAACUUAUUAUGUCCACUUUCUCCAAAUGUUCUUUCUUCCUAAUGUGUAUUCUGAAGAAUGGCAACAAGUGGAAAUAUUCCGGGAUUAAUUCCUAAAAUGGAUCUAAAUAAACCCAGUAAAUAAAAUAAGCCAAUUUUCAUAAAUGAAAUUCAAAGAUCAUUAAAAACACUGAACUCAUGAAUAUGAAACAUAUAUUAAAAAUAUCAUGAUUAAAUAGAGUUAUAUUAGGACUAAAAGGAUGAUCCAAAAUUAGAAAAUUCACUGGUGAAUUCAUCAAAUUAAUAAAGGAAUCAGAUGAAAAAAUGUUUUAUCAUUAAGUUCCUACAUAGAGUAUUUUAAAAAAAUAGAAGACAAUAAAUUAGAAAGAAUUGAUCAUUUGGCAGAAAUAGUAGAGUAAAAACUUAUAGGAAAUAUGGCUUUUAAAAAAAUCAAACAAACAUAGGUUUUGGAAGAAAAAAAGGUAAAACUGUAAUAGCAAUUAUAUUACAUAUAUUUUAAUUUUUCUCAGUUCCUCUCACACAAUGGAUUUAUGUUUCCCUCAUGUUUUCUUGCUGACCUGAUUCCAGACAAAGUGCUUGUUCCAUUACUACCAAUAUUUGUAAUGACUAAAAGUGAAGCCAUGAUAGUAUUGAGAUGUGAACAGGAGCGAAAAAAUAAUUUUCAUUACAACUUCAGGCUUGCCCCUACCCUGAAAUACACACUACCGUACACUUCACAUUCAACACACACCUAAUCUGAGAAAAUAAUUCCUUUUCUUACUUAAGUGAGUGUUUCAAAACAUGGUGAUACUCCUAAUAUCAAUCAAUGUAAAGAAGCAGAAAAAUGUGAUAGAUAGUUGAAUCACUUAUUUUCCAGAAAGACAUUUUUCCCGCAUAGAUUUGUAAUUAGUAAUACAGCAUCGACACUUGAAAUUGAAAACCUUUGAAAUCCCUGGACUUGGCUUUUCUCACCUUAUCAGGAGAAAUCACUAAUCUCUUUGGAAGCAGAAAAAGUUUGAUAGAAAGGUAUAUAAAAGGAGAAUGUAGCAAAACAACUGUUUUAAAGUGAGAAAAUAUAAAACAAUCUAGAGUCUAUUAUGAGCAAACAGCGAAGGAAAUGUAAAAUUGCACUACACACAUUCAGAAAGUGUCUACAUGCAAGAGAGAAGAGAAGUUUUGUCCUAAUUCCUUCCCAAGUCUUCUUGCAUGACUGUACUAAAUGAAUCUGCAAACAGUUCACAUUCCACUUACACUACUAUAUGCAGCAGCCCUAGGGAAAGGGGAUAGGUGGAGCUAAAUGUGACGAUGAAGAAGAAGAAGAAGAAGAAGAAGGAGAAGGAGAAGGAGAAGGAGAAGGAGAAGGAGAAGGAGAAGGAGAAGCAUUUUUAUGUUUGCCCCAUUAGAAACGUUGAUUCCCAAACCCACAUAUUGUCUAGAUUCUUACCCAUCUCUCACCAGACAUGGGUCAGCAUCAGAGAAAAUAAACCAUUACUCUUCAUUUUUGCACACAUAAUAAAAUAUAUCCAGUUCACACUGUGAGGUACAACUAUACAUGAACAUCAGGCUUUCUUAAUGGUAUGCUAGAAAAUGGAGGGCAGGAAUGUGUCUUAUUUAUUUGAUUAUGUAUAGCAAUGCCUUAUAUGCUAAAGUGCACAAAACAUGGUCAAUAUUUGUUAAAGAAUAAAAUUUAAUUGUCUUUGAUUUUAAAAAAGGAGGAAGAAGAAAAGAUGCAUUUUUUUUGCUCUCAAAAUCUAUAGGAGGCUCACUUGAGGCUGCUGUCAGAGGGGUAUGCAUGUAUAAAGGCUAAUAGAGAGUCCUCUGGAGAUAUUAAAACUCUGCAGUACCCCUGAGCAGGUACAGAAUAAAAAAUUCUGAGCCACAAGCAUUGAAGAUGGCAUUUUGACCUUUACAGUCUCACAAUAGUUAUAGAAAAAAGCCAGAUGAACAUUAAAAAAUUAGAUAAAUAAGAUGGUGCACAUCAAUAUGAAAACAUGAUUUAAUCAAAAGUGUACUGUACAGACUUUAAAUGAUCUUAUCCAGGGAGAAGGUCAGUACUUUUUGAGUUCACUUAUGAUUUUUUUGCAG
rnacentral:lncRNA from 1 species